CCACUGUCCUCUGAAAGAUGGGUGGCCAGAGCCAUCCAUGACCUGGGCCUCUGCUUGUGAUUGGGCAGGAUGGGCUUAGAGCUUCAUUCGUCCAUCUUCGGCUGAGGUUCCAACUGAGGCUGUGAUCAGAACAGAGGAAGGAAGACUGGCCCUGAGAUGUUGCUCAAACUCUGCUAGGCAGAGGGGCGCGGCCUCCCAGUCCCCAUUCAUUCACCACUGUCAUCGUCAAAUAGGAGGACAUUGGAUUUCUUAUUAGGGAAACAGGAAAGAGUCUGGGCUUUUAAAUUCCACCUGUUGCACUUGGAGAAACCUGAAAACAGAGGCUAAUAUUAAAGAUAAAAGACCGAUACCAAAUGUUACUGACUUCCGCCGUUAUUUUGGAGACGUCGUGGAUAUUCUGCUGUUUAUUUCUGGCCCCAACUUGUUUGAGAAGCUUAUAAAGUGAAGGUUAGACCAAAGCCAGUCCAGGACCUCCCCGGUUAAAUCGGGAGCGUCAGCCACCGAGCACAGCAGGCCUGCGUUCCUGCCUCCUCCACGCCCAGCCCAGCGCGGGACCCCGGAAGGGCGGCCCGCCCAGCAGCCGGCCGUCCGGCCGUCGGUCUGUCCGCAGCGCGAAAGCCGCCUUGGAAGGACUCACUGCUGCCCUGGAGUCGACCUCUGUAACUGGAGCGGCGCCCGGACCCGAUGCCAGGAGUGCAAACAGCCUCCAGAAAGGCGGAGUUCUUCCGAAGAGCAGCAAGAGCCGCAGGAGACGGCCUUGCACCUUCCAGUCCGAGCCCGGCUCAGCCGGCUGAGUACUCGCUUGGCCCCGCUGUCAGGGCAGCUUGAGCACGCGGAGAAACCUGAGUCAGCUUUGAACAGUCUGUGUACAGUGACAGGCCACUCCUGGGACACUUGGCGCCUGUGCUCACAGGUCUGGUGGCUUGCUCGGCCCCUCCCCCCUGCUGGGGCUGAACCGGUGCCACCUCAGAAGCCAGACUGCAUCCUGCCUACCCUGUGCCUCUUCUCAUGAAGAGGACAGGACCCUCUGUGAUCUAAGCCGUAUCCUCUCUGCCCUCAACGCCUCACAUGCCCUCCCUUGAAGACAGUGGGAAGUCAGCUACCAUCCUGUCUCAAGAAGAGGCCUGAGCAGCAAGGAGCUUGCUAUGUCUUGGGUGUGGUUUUUCUACCAAAGGUUCAUGUAGAAGAUUGAUCCACAGUGUGGUGAUGUUAAAAAGUGGUGGGAUCUUGCCAGGAGUGGUGGGGGAGGCCUGUAAUCGUAGCACCUGGGAGGCCGAGGCAGGAGCAUUGCAAAUUCAAGCCCAAUCUGGGCAACUUAUUGACCUAGCAAGACCCUGUCUAAAAAUAAAAAAUUUUUUUAAAUGUCUGGGCUGUAUUUAUUUAUUUAUUUUUGGUACCGGGGAUCUGAGGAUCGAACUUGGGUCCUUGUGCUUGCACAGCAGGUGGUGAAACCACAGAGCUAAAUCCCUGGCCCAGGGCUAUAGCUCAGUACAAAGGCUGUGGGUUCAAUCUCUAGUACUAAAAAGAAGGAGGAAGAGGAGGAAAAGAAAGAAGGCAAACCUAUCCACCCUACUCCUUCUCAUGUUUCCUGUCCCCCCCCCCCCCCGCCAUCCUCUGUGCUAUUAUGCAGCACAGAACUCUCAUCAGAUGCUGCCACUAUGCUGUUUGGACUUCUCAGUCACCAGAAUCAUGAAUUAAAUAAAAC
ensembl:lncRNA